UGAGUACGAGCUGCUACGGCAGCGAAGUGGGUGACGUCAAGCUUCCAAGAAAAGCCCUAUACCCGUUAAGGCAUGAUGGCCUGUACCCGAAACCGACACAGGUGGGGUGGUAGAGAAUACCGAGGGGCGCGAGAUAACUCUCUCUAAGGAACUCGGCAAAAUGGCCCCGUAACUUCGGGAGAAGGGGUGCCACCGCAAGGUGGUCGCAGUGAAGAGGCCCAGGCGACUGUUUACCAAAAACACAGGUCUCCGCUAAGUCGCAAGACGAUGUAUGGGGGCUGACGCCUGCCCAGUGCCGGAAGGUUAAGGAAGCUGGUCAGCGUAAGCGAAGCUAGCGACUGAAGCCCCGGUGAACGGCGGCCGUAACGAUAACGGUCCUAAGGUAGCGAAAUUCCUUGUCGGGUAAGUUCCGACCCGCACGAAAGGCGUAACGAUCUGGGCGCUGUCUCGGAGAGAGGCUCGGCGAAAUAGAAUUGUCUGUGAAGAUGCGGACUACGUGCACCCGGACAGAAAGACCCUAUGAAGCUUUACUGUAGCUUGGUAUUGUGCUCGGGCUCGGAAUGCGCAGGAUAGGUGGGAGGCUAUGAACCAUUGCUUGUGGGUGAUGGUGAGCCACUGGUGAGAUACCACUCUUUCCGAGCUAGAGUUCUAACAGCCACCCGUUAUCCGGGGGCUGGACAGUAUCAGGUGGGCAGUUUGACUGGGGCGGUCGCCUCCUAAAAGGUAACGGAGGCGCGCAAAGGUUUGCUCAGGCUGGUUGGAAAUCAGCCGACGAGUGUAAAAGCAGAAGCAAGCUUGACUGUGAGACCUACAAGUCGAACAGGGAGGAAACUCGGCUUUAGUGAUCCGACGGUUCUGCGUGGAAGGGCCGUCGCUCAACGGAUAAAGUUACUCUAAGGAUAACAGGCUGAUCUCCCCCAAGAGUUCACAUCGACGGGGAGGUUUGGCACCUCGAUGUCGGCUCAUCGCAACCUGGGGCUGAAGUCGGUCCCAAGGGUUGGGCUGUUCGCCCAUUAAAGCGGUACGCGAGCUGGGUUCAGAACGUCGUGAGACAGUUCGGUCCAUAUCCGGUGCAUGCGCAGGAAUAUUGAGAGGAUUUCUCCCUAGUACGAGAGGACCGGGAGGAACGCACCUCUGGUGUACCAGUUAUCGUGCCAACGGUAAACGCUGGGUAGCCAUGUGCGGAGAGGAUAACCGCUGAAAGCAUCUAAGUGGGAAGCCCACCUCAAGAUGAGUAUUCCCAUGGGUUAACCCAGUAAGGUCACGGGAAGAACACCCGUUGAUAGGCUCUACGUGGAAGCGCAGUAAUGUGUGAAGCGGAGGAGUACUAAUAGACCGAGGGCUUGAC
rnacentral:rRNA from 1 species